rnacentral:rRNA from 1 species
UACAGAGGUCUCAAGCGUUGUUCGGAUUCAUUGGGCGUAAAGGGUGCGUAGGUGGCGCCGUAAGUCAGGUGUGAAAUCUCGGAGCUUAACUCCGAAACUGCAUUCGAUACUGCCGUGCUUGAGGACUGGAGAGGAGACUGGAAUUUACGGUGUAGCGGUGAAAUGCGUAGAUAUCGUAAGGAAGACCAGUGGCGAAGGCGGGUCUCUGGACAGUUCCUGACGCUGAGGCACGAAGGUCAGGGGAGCAAACGGG